rfam:Medicago truncatula strain A17 chromosome 1, whole genome shotgun sequence.
AUAGGGUCUAGACCUGGCAUAUCUUCAUAGGACCAUGCAAAAAUAUCCGGAUAUUCCCGGAGGAGUUGGAUGAUCUUCUGUUUAACCCCUUCCUCUAGAGUAGCACCAAUCUUGAUUUCUCGCUUGUUUUCCUCGGUACCUAUGUUGAUAAGCUCAAUCUCUUCCUGG